rnacentral:rRNA from 1 species
CGGACGGGUGAGUAACGCGUGGGUAACCUGCCCUGUACAGGGGGAUAACAGCCGGAAACGGCUGCUAAAACCGCAUGACAUGUGGAUACCGCAUGGUAGCCACAUCAAAUAUUUAUAGGUACAGGAUGGGCCCGCGUCUGAUUAGCCAGUUGGCAGGGUAACGGCCUACCAAAGCGACGAUCAGUAGCCGGCUUGAGAGAGUGACCGGCCACAUUGGGACUGAGACACGGCCCAAACUCCUACGGGAGGCAGCAG